AAGUCGUAACAAGGUCUCCGUAGGUGAACCUGCGGAGGGAUCAUUACCGAGUGAGGGCGCCUCGCGCGUCCGACCUCCCAACCCUUUGAUCUGAUCAAGACCUCCUAUCUGCCUCGGGGGCGACCCGGACCCACGCGGGUGCGCGGUCCCCCCGGCGGUAACCUCAUCCAACCCUCGCAUCAAUUGUCGUCGGAGUAAUGAAGUUUAAUUCAAUUAAAACUUUCAACAACGGAUCUCUUGGUUCUGGCAUCGAUGAAGAACGCAGCGAAAUGCGAUAAGUAAUGUGAAUUGCAGAAUUCAGUGAAUCAUCGAAUCUUUGAACGCACAUUGCGCCCUUUGGCAUUCCGAAGGGCAUGCCUGUUCGAGCGUCAUUACACCAAUCAAGCCUGGCUUGGUAUUGGGCGACGGGGACCCUCCCGGGGGCCCCCCGCCCCAAUGACUCCGGCGGGACGGACCGAAUCUCAGCGUUGUGAAUCUCAUCCGCUGGCGAGACGGGACGGCCGUGCCGUUAAACAACCCCUUUAUCACAGGUUGACCUCGGAUCAGGUAGGGAUACCCGCUGAACUUAU
rnacentral:rRNA from 1 species